AUGGACCAAUCCAUCCCUUUUUCCCGUGCAUAUGCAUCGGACUCGGAUGACGAUGGUCCUGAUGAAGAAGUUGAUGAGGAGGGGUUCACACCGAAGGAGGCCGAAGCAUUUAAGAAGGUAUUCGGGUGGGAUCACAAGACACCAUUGUUCAAGGAUCUUAGUCUCGCGGAUGAAGCCGUUGUGGAUGGUGGAAAAUGCAUAUCUCUUGGAGCUAGGCCAAGUUCUCAC
rnacentral:rRNA from 1 species